rnacentral:rRNA from 1 species
UGGCGGCAGCUACACAUGCAGUCGAGCGGUAGCACAGAGAGCUUGCUCUCGGGUGACGAGCGGCGGACGGGUGAGUAAUGUCUGGGAAACUGCCUGAUGGAGGGGGAUAACUACUGGAAACGGUAGCUAAUACCGCAUAAUGUCGCAAGACCAAAGUGGGGGACCUUCGGGCCUCAUGCCAUCAGAUGUGCCCAGAUGGGAUUAGCUAGUAGGUGGGGUAACGGCUCACCUAGGCGACGAUCCCUAGCUGGUCUGAGAGGAUGACCAGCCACACUGGAACUGAGACACGGUCCAGACUCCUACGGGAGGCAGCAGUGGGGAAUAUUGCACAAUGGGCGCAAGCCUGAUGCAGCCAUGCCGCGUGUGUGAAGAAGGCCUUCGGGUUGUAAAGCACUUUCAGCGGGGAGGAAGGCAAUGAGGUUAAUAACCUUGUCGAUUGACGUUACCCGCAGAAGAAGCACCGGCUAACUCCGUGCCAGCAGCCGCGGUAAUACGGAGGGUGCAAGCGUUAAUCGGAAUUACUGGGCGUAAAGCGCACGCAGGCGGUCUGUCAAGUCGGAUGUGAAAUCCCCGGGCUCAACCUGGGAACUGCAUUCGAAACUGGCAGGCUAGAGUCUUGUAAAGGGGGGUAGAAUUCCAGGUGUAGCGGUGAAAUGCGUAGAGAUCUGGAGGAAUACCGGUGGCGAAAGGCGGCCCCCUGGACAAAGAACUGACGCUCAGGUGCGAAAAGCGUGGGGGAGCAAAACAGGAUUAGAUACCCUGGGUAGUCCACGCCGUAAAACGAAUGUCCAAUUUUGGAAGGUUGUGCCCCUUGAGGCGUGGGCUUUCCGGA